rnacentral:rRNA from 1 species
UACGAAGGGGGCUAGCGUUGCUCGGAAUCACUGGGCGUAAAGCGCACGUAGGCGGAUUGUUAAGUCAGGGGUGAAAUCCUGGAGCUCAACUCCAGAACUGCCUUUGAUACUGGCGAUCUUGAGUCCGGGAGAGGUGAGUGGAACUGCGAGUGUAGAGGUGAAAUUCGUAGAUAUUCGCAAGAACCCCAGUGGCGAAGGCGGCUCACUGGCCCGGUACUGACGCUGAGGCACGAAAGCGUGGGGAGCAAACAGG